UUAAGGAACUCGGCAAAAUAGCACCGUAACUUCGGGAGAAGGUGUGCCCGCCGACGUGAUGGAACUUGCUUCCUGAGCGUUGGCGGGUCGCAGUGAAAUGGGGGUUGCGACUGUUUACUAAAAACACAGGACUGUGCGAACUCGUAAGAGGACGUAUACGGUCUGACGCCUGCCCGGUGCUGGAAGGUUAAGGGGAGAGGUUAGCGCAAGCGAAGCUUCGAACCGAAGCCCCAGUAAACGGCGGCCGUAACAAUAACGGUCCUAAGGUAGCAAAUUCCUUGUCGGGUAAGUUCCGACCUGCACGAGGGCGUAACGACAUCCCUACUGUCUCGGCCAGCGACUCAGCGAAAUUGUAUCGGGGGUGAAGAUACCCUCUACCCGCGGCAAGACGGAAAGACCCCAUGAACCUUUACUGCAACUUGGCAGUGAGGUUCGGAACAGUCUGCGUAGGAUAGGUAGGAGGCUUUGAAGUCGGGAUUCCGGUCUCGAUGGAGCCGUCGUUGAAAUACUACCCUGGCUUUUCUGGACUUCUAACCUAGGCCCCUCAACGGGGUCGGGGACACUGCCUGGUGGGCAGUUUGACUGGGGCGGUCGCCUCCCAAACAGUAACGGAGGCGCGCGAAGGUACCCUCAGGCUGAUUGGAAACCAGCCGGCGAGUGCAAUGGCACAAGGGUGCUUAACUGUGAGAGGGACACCUCGAGCAGGUGCGAAAGCAGGCCAUAGUGAUCCGGUGGUCCCGCAUGGAAGGGCCAUCGCUCAUCGGACAAAAGGUACUCUGGGGAUAACAGGCUGAUCGCGCCUGAGAGUCCAUAUCGGCGGCGCGGUUUGGCACCUCGAUGUCGGCUCAUCGCAUCCUGGGGCUGGAGCAGGUCCCAAGGGUUUGGCUGUUCGCCAAUUAAAGCGGUACGCGAGCUGGGUUUAGAACGUCGUGAGACAGUUCGGUCCCUAUCUGCCGUGGGCGCAGGAUACUUGAGAGGAGCUGUUCAUAGUACGAGAGGACCUGAACGGACGCACCUCUAGUGUUCCGGUUGUCAUGCCAAUGGCAUAGCCGGGUAGCUAUGUGCGGAACGGAUAACCGCUGAAAGCAUCUAAGCGGGAAGCCGGCCUCAAGACAAGGUAUCCCGGGGCAUAAGCCCCCUGAAGGCCCCUUGAAGACUACAAGGUGAUAGGCGGGAGGUAGAAGCGCAGCGAUGCGCGGAGCUGACCCGUACUAAUAGGCCGUGCGGCUUGACCG
rnacentral:rRNA from 1 species